rnacentral:rRNA from 1 species
UACGUAGGGGGCAAGCGUUGUCCGGAUUUAUUGGGCGUAAAGAGUGUGUAGGCGGCCAGGUAGGUCCGUUGUGAAAACUCGAGGCUCAACCUCGAGACGUCGGCGGAAACCCUCUGGCUAGAGUCCGGAAGAGGCGAGUGGAAUUCCUGGUGUAGCGGUGAAAUGCGCAGAUAUCGGAAGGAACAUCAGUGGCGAAAGCGACUUCCUGGACCAAUACUGACGCUCAUGUGCGAAAGCGUGGGGAGCAAACAGG